GCUGCGGCCGGGGGCAGCGGCGGGGGAGGCGCAGCUCCGCUCCGGGCUCGGGCAGGGGCUCGAGAUGCGCCCGGGGAGGCAGCGCGGAGCCGCCCGCCCGCCCGCCCACACGGCGCUGCACGUGCCCCGAGCCGGCAUGCGGGAGCCCCGGGGCCGCCUGCUCCUUCCCUCCCCACCCCGGCCCCAGAACAGCCGGGACCCGCCUUCUCCGCGCCUCCUGGAUGCUUAGUGCUACCUUUUACACGUGGCUGCUCACUAAUUACCAGGGGGAUGAGGAGGAUGAAGCAGAUGAAGACGAAGCUGGUCCAUCAGGAGAGUACAAAGAAGACGAAGAUGAAAAUGUUGGAGGUUCAGAUUUGGGGGAGAGUGAAGAGGAGGAAGGAGCUGGCCUUUCAUACCUGAUGAUGGACAAGAUCCAGGCAGGACUUACCCUAUUCUACUAUAAGGCUCAGGAUUUUCUUGACACUGUCUAGCUAUAAAUGUGUAAUAAGCAGAAUCAUGUAAAUCCACUAUCAUACAUGAGCAAUAGAGUACUUUAGAGAGAGACCUUUUACGAUCAAAGAAGUGCAUUACAGUAGGGGAACCACCGCUGUUUGGUAUUCUUCGUUAUCUUGCUCAAAAUGAAAUGCUGCAAGAUACAUUACUUCACGGCGUUGUAGAAUUAGUGUCAUUCUGCACCAGAUCACCACGUCCGAUUUGGAGGAGAACGUGGCCGAAACAAAUCCACCUGCCCUAUCAGGAUGCUCACAAGUGCCUGGGGCGCUUCAGCCUUGAGAGCCAUGCCCUCACCAUGCAGAUCUGCAGGCUGUCAGGUGUGGGGCUGGGGCUUCCAGGCAGGGGGGAGAGGGUGAGUAUGGAGGAGCUAGGGCCUGAGGGUGCAGGGGGCUGAUCAGGAUGUGAGGGCUGAGGCAAAGGGGAGACAGGCUGGGAAUCCAGGAGUGAGGGCUGGCCACUGAGGAAGAAGUCAGGGAGAGGCUGGAGCUGUGGCCCUGGGAGCGCCGUGGGUCUGGCCAUGCAGGGGAGAGCUGGGGCGGGGAGCGGAGACUUGCCCUGGGUGGGAGCGCAUUGCCCUUGCCCUGGGUGGGAGCACAGGACCUUGAGCUGCUGUUAGUGGAGGGAGGUGGGUGGGAAGUUGGAUCCUGGCAUUUUGGGGAAGGAGGAGGGAUUGGACACUCCUUUCACCCCACUUAUCUCAGGGCCCUUUUCUUUCCUCCCCGGGGGGCAGACAGCCCGUGUGAUGUUUGCUGAGCUGACCUGCAGGGAGCCUGAUGGAUCCAGGAGAUGGGAACGGGGCUGUGUCGGGUUCGCUGCUCUGGGAAGGAAGCGCGUUAGAGCAGAGCAGGCGUGAGGACCAGGACUUGCAGGUUGUGCCCUGCUCUGGCUCUUCGAAAGGAGUGCUGUCCAGCAUGCCAAGCAGUGAUCAACGUGAGCCAUGAUGCACGACUGAUCCCGCAGACCAGCUGCCAGCUCUGGGUGGUGGAGGAGCAGUCCAUCAGCCACAUCAACGGCGACUUCGACUGCAAGCGGGAGGUGCUGGAGGCCUCGGGCCAGGUCAGCAUUAACUGGCCCCGGGAGUGACCUUGCUGUGGGGAGGCUCCUCGAGGACCUGCCCCUCCCCUCUCAGAGACCUGCCUGCACAGCUUCACGUGCGCCCACACCCAGAGGACUCCGUGUAGAGGGGGCAGGGCCGCAGGCAUGGUUGUGGUUGAACUUUGAAGAUGUGUUUUGGGGGCCUAAUGCAAGACAUGUUAUAUUUUUAGAGCUGUUCUUCUAUACCUGCUGCUUUCCCAGGAGAGAGAGACUUAAUUUAUAUGAAUGGGAGGGAGGGGGUUGUACUGGAAUGGUCUGUUUUAAGCAGGAGUGAGGGCUGUCCUUGUCCCAUUGCUGGCUUCCCUGCCCCCAGUCUGGAGAAUGGCUUGAGCCUUGUUUUGCUUCCACCCAAGAAGAUUAUAUUAAAAUAUAAUAA